UUGGCAAGGAGAAAUGCUCUUGUGAUGCAGCAGAGAUUAAGAAUGCAAAGAGAAGAGGCAGCUAGUUAUGAAAAUCGUUUGCCUCAGGAAUGGACUUAUUGAUUCAAGCAAGGAUUCAAGUUUCUUCUGAUUAUUGAUGAUGAUAAUGAUGAUGAUGAUGAUGAUGAUGAUGAAAAAAUUAGUUAAUUUAGAAGGGUUGUGAUAAUAUGUAUUUUUAAUAAUAAAAAUAUUUUAGUAUAAAGAUGAGAUUGAAGAAUGUGUUUUGGUUAGUUUAGUGGCAAUAAAAACAUCCGGUUUUUG
rnacentral:lncRNA from 1 species